UACGUAGGUGGCAAGCGUUGUCCGGAAUUAUUGGGCGUAAAGCGCGCGCAGGUGGUUUCUUAAGUCUGAUGUGAAAGCCCACGGCUCAACCGUGGAGGGUCAUUGGAAACUGGGGAACUUGAGUGCAGGAGAGAAGAGUGGAAUUCCACGUGUAGCGGUGGAAAUGCGGUAGAGAUGUGGAGGAACACCAGUGGCGAAGGCGGCGUUCUGGACUGCAUCUGACACUGAAGGACGAAAGCCAGGGGAGCAAACGGG
rnacentral:rRNA from 1 species